rnacentral:rRNA from 1 species
UUGAACGCUGGCGGCAUGCUUUACACAUGCAAGUCGAACGGUAACAGGUUAAGCUGACGAGUGGCGAACGGGUGAGUAAUAUAUCGGAACAUAUCCGGAAGUGGGGGAUAACGUAGCGAAAGUUACGCUAAUACCGCAUAUGCCCUGAGGGGGAAAGGGGGGGAUCGCAAGACCUCUCGCUUUCGGAGUGGCCGAUAUCGGAUUAGCUAGUAGGUGAGGUAAAGGCUCACCUAGGCGACGAUCCGUAGCUGGUCUGAGAGGACGACCAGCCACACUGGAACUGAGACACGGUCCAGACUCCUACGGGAGGCAGCAGUGGGGAAUUUUGGACAAUGGGGGCAACCCUGAUCCAGCCAUUCCGCGUGAGUGAAGAAGGCCUUCGGGUUGUAAAGCUCUUUCAGCCGGAACGAAACGGUACGCUCUAACAUAGCGUGCUAAUGACGGUACCGGCAGAAGAAGCACCGGCUAACUACGU